rnacentral:rRNA from 1 species
UACGUAGGCAGCAAGCGUUGUUCGGAGUUACUGGGCGUAAAGGGUGCGUAGGCGGUUGUUUAAGUUUGGUGUGAAAUCUCCCGGCUCAACCGGGAGGGUGCGCCGAAUACUGAAUGACUAGAGUGCGGGAGAGGAGAGUGGAAUUCCUGGGUGUAGCGGUGAAAUCGCGUAGAUAUCAAGGAGGAACACCGGUGGUGUAGACGGCUCUCUGGACCGUAACUGACGCUGAGGCACGAAAGCGUGGGUAGCAAACAGG